UGGGGGAUAUUGCACAAUGGGCGAAAGCCUGAUGCAGCGACGCCGCGUGGGGGAUGAAGGCCUUCGGGUUGUAAACUUCUUUUGCUCUGAACAAGGCGCACCAUGGGGUGUGUUGAGUGUAGGGGUUGAUUAGCGCCGGCUAACUACGUGCCAGCAGCCGCGGUAAUACGUAGGGCGCGAGCGUUGUCCGGAAUUAUUGGGCGUAAAGGGCUUGUAGGUGGCUGGUUGCGUCUGUCGUGAAAGCUCAUGGCUUAACUGUGGGUUUGCGGUGGGUACGAGCUGGCUUGAGUGCAGUAGGGGAGGCUGGAAUUCCUGGUGUAGCGGUGGAAUGCGCAGAUAUCAGGAGGAAUACCGGUGGCGAAGGCGGGUCUCUGGGCUGUUACUGACACUGAGGAGCGAAAGCAUGGGGAGCGAACAGG
rnacentral:rRNA from 1 species